CGUGUACAGAGGGAGCAGGCGGCGGCGGCGUUCGGUAGGAAGGGGCGGGAGAGUGGAGGAGAGGGUGGAGGAAGGUGAGGGAGGACAGUAGAGGAGGAAGGUGAGGUUGGAGGUGACUCGGCGACGGUACCGCUGACUCGACGGUAAGCAGGGAGAGGGAGGAGCGCGGACCUUGCGAUCGAGCACCUGUACGGCUGGCAUGCGCGGCGUCCGUCCCGUUCUUGACGUCGUGGGGUUGUGCAGCUGUUCCCUCCAAUCGUUUCUAACCUGCCCCUACCUGCUCGAUCUGUACCUACCGCAGUUGCACCGGUUCGGGCUCAAGCGCAUGGGAUGACCAGCAUAAGACUUAUUAUCACGUUCCAUGAAACUCAUUUACCAGACGUUUAGUCACGUAGACCUCACGAUCCUACACACCCCUGUUUUUCUACGGUAACGUAUCCGGGCAACCGUCUCUUUAGUUUCGAAAUGGUCCGCAACAGCCGUUACUAACUACUCUAUUAACCAAAUCGACGAAAGCCUUCUCCGCUGCCCUUAGUAUUUUUGGUGCUACCGAUACCUCUAAGUUGUAUAUCUUUCUACCUUCUCCAAGGGUGAGAGAGAGAGAGAGAGAGAGAGAGAGAGAGGGAAGGUGAAAGAAAACUAAAUUAGGGGUCAGAAUAAAUAGAUACGGAUGUACCACACGCCGACGUUCCUUUAUAAUGAGAGACGUUAUAAUCACGAGGUAACGGAUGAGUUGUCACAGAAAAAAAAGAAGACUUUAAAUCGACGUCAGAACCUAGUGAAUGGACAUGUCAUGCAAUGUAGAGUGCCAAUAGACUGAACGAAUACGUUAUAUAGAGUAGUAAGUAUAUAUACAAAUUAAACACCUCUUUAUAUAAACAACGAUACAACAAACUCUAAAUGUAGGAGACAAGGUACUCAAUUCUCCUAUAAAAAUCUCCAAAGGCACAAUGAGUAUAUCCAAACCAUCAAUAUAAAACCAAUCUUGGAACGACGAGGAUUGGUGACCAAUACACAAAAACCCUGUUCCACGAAACAUGUAAUACUAACCAAUACAUACACAGUACCUAAUUUACAUAAAUACGAAGACGUGUUAAAAAUUAGAUAUUAAGCAAAAGGACGGUUGUUCGUAGUGUUCAUUAUAGCUCUCGCUCGUCAACGUCUACUCUCCCCUCUGCUCGCACCCACCUCCAGUCCGAAACAGUUCCCUCUGCACCCAUGAAGACAAUCAACUCUUCUGUAAUGUUAACGCGUUGUCAGUCCUUAUUUACAAUAAGAAGGAGACUAUAUAACGUCGUUUAAGUCAAAUACACAGGAGGCUAAUAAAGAAGAUAAAAAACCGGAACACGAAAAUCGUCAUGUACCAGGUCAUCAUUAGCCCCUGAGUCCCCUUCCCGUCAAGAUAGAAGAUACACUCCAACUGAUGAAAACUAAGCGUACAGGAGGACUUAGUCGAUACAUACUUUCGUCUCCGGGAGGUUUAAUCUACCAUCACAAAUCUUAAUUACUAAAUAGGGUACACUUAACUGGAAAAGAGACAAGAAAGUAGGAAAAACAAAUCUCAAUUACUAAAUAGGUCACGACGGGUAACGUACGAGUGGCCUGAAAAUUUUUCGAAGUAGAAUCAAACGAUUUACAAGAAAGGAUGACUUGAUCGAAGUCUUGCUAACCAACCAAAUAAUCGGUAAACUAAAAAAACAAGUAAAGUGCAAACGAUGAUUGUUUAUAAGUUUUUUUAUCACAAGGACAAUUGAUUAAAACCUAGCAUAAACAACCUCUAGGAGACAAGAACAAGAGACACGCGGCCUAGACAACGACGCCGGGAGCUAGACAAGCAGGUGACGCCAGACGCCCACGAGCACGAAGACCAGCUAAGCAGGACGAUGCAGCCAGUAGCAAGACGUCAAUAAACACUAAACUUUCGUUGACUACUGAGUUAUAGUUAGUCACGUGCCUCCCUUGAGAAGAGGUGGUACGACUGCUGUCCUUUCCCCUUUUAGGUCAGACGUCACGGUAGCUACUUGUUCCAUUUGUGCUCGACAGCAAGCGAAUAUUUAAGGCAUUAAGUCAUCAUAGCUAGAUCCCAAGUACACUCACUUAGAAUGACAAGAAGCCUGGCACAUAUUUUUACGACGAGACAAUAGUCAACAUCGACGUCAAGAUAACAACACUCAGAGAGAGUACCAGGUUAUCUUACGGGAAAAGUCUCUUUUAUGAGGUCUAGAUAAAUGAUACUAAAUCAAGACCAUAACUAAAAAUAAAUCAUACUUAUGAGUGUAUUACUCAGAUAAUUUGCUAGAUUUAUGGUGGAUAAGUGCCUAAUGAACACGGCGAUAAAAAAAACGAAUAGCGCGGUAAGAAAUGCAAACAUAACGUUGUUUCAUUUAAAACAUCCGAGUCUCUUUAGAAGACCUAACAAAUCUGGUGUAUAAACAAAAGAAAGAGUUAUCAGUACUACGUGUUGCAUCAUUAAAACUAAAAAGUAAACCUACAAUAUAUGAGAAAUGUUCUAGAUGUUCAACGUGUGUUAAGUAUAAACUACAAAUCAGAACGAUUAAGAGCUUUGUAAGGGUACAAACAAGAGGAUGUCUCGAAAACUAUAGAAUAGAUAUGAGUACGAAUUUUCUAUGAGGGAGACAUUGAUUUAUAAUCUUCAAAAACAUCAAGUUAAACUUGUUGUUUUUACAGAAUUAUAAAUCAGUAUCCCAUCAUGAACAGAACCAACUAACGAAAUACUUCUUUCAUCUGGUAAAAUCUAGUUUCUAUACCUAAAUACUAUCAAAACUCUGUCUCUCCUUCUUUAUUGUUCAAACCCUUUACUACUUUGAAGGUUUUUAAUACUGUUAAACUAAGUCGUACACCAAUCCAGUACGAGAAUCCUCUAUUUACAAGAAGACAUUAAAAUCAAAGUUCAUGAAAACUAACUAUUAUUCUUCCUAUACACAAAUAACUAACAAAAUAUGAUGAUAAUAAAUCCACUACGUUUAGUUAUAGAACGAAACAGAUACGAUACUUCACCGGAUUCGCGAUAUGGUGCCCCUUGGUCCUUGCCAAUGAAAGGACCACUGGAAUAAUAAGCCAUACCACGAACGUUUAACUAGAAAACAACACAAAUAAGUGACUUCGAACAUGACAGUUUGUCUCAACGAUAACAUAACUACGGAACCUUACAACAAUUUAGUUCAUUACGUCGACUUAAACAGACGAUGAGGGGGACAGGGUUUUAUAUUCUUGCAAAAAUUGUGAUGUGAUUACAGUUUUUGCAAGAAUAUAAUACCCUGCCUCCCUCAUGUACAAUUAGAACGAGAAACUAUGAACAAGUGUUAACAAAUGAACUACGAACUACCGUUGACGAUAAGAAUGUUCUGAUAGUUAGACUCUAUAAUAGUAUUGAGUCUUUUUACUCUACACGUGUAUACAAACAUAAAACUAAAUGAUUACCAAAGGAAGUACACUUACAAAAUAACGUAAUAGACUAAAGAUUAGACAUCAUUUACACUGUGUUCAAAUAGUAAAUAGUAACAUACCUCACUUGGCUCCGUCGUUGAUCGACCUGCACCUUCACAACAAGGACUUCCUCUUCAUACUCCAACACGAACUCUUCUAGAGGUCCGACCUCCUCUACCGAAGAGAUAAGUAAAUAAAAGAGGGACUUCGUACCCUACAGCCUAAGUCUCGUUGUUCCGCUGAUUUCCUACCCCAAUAGCGUUCCUCCGUGUGUGUACCUACUAGCCACUCCAGCGAUCUCGAAUACUCCACCUCACUCCUUGUUCUCGCCUUGCCUAAGACAGUGGUGCUACAACUUUCCCUACACGUGGUGACAAAAACACGGAUAUAAUUUCAUAUAAACACACUACUCGUCGAUGUCGAACACAAACGUUUAAACAAGGAAAAAUCGAAAUUGGUAAAAAACACUUCUUUUAUAAAACAUUUGGUCACGUUUGAAACGGACUUAAUGGUAGGUAAACCGUUUUACAAUUUCGUCUAAUCUAGUAAGGAGCGUUAUUCGUAACCUCACUUCAAAGUUGGGUAACUAAGAUAUACAGGAGAGGUCAUGGAAAACACGAUUCCCCGUCACAAACACACGUGAGGCUUAUGAUUACGAUCUACAAGAGAAGUUUU
rnacentral:rRNA from 1 species